GUGUCAGCAGCCGCGGUAAUACGGAGGAUCCAAGCGUUGUCCGGAUUUAUUGGGUUUAAAGGGUGCGUAGGUGGAUAAUUAAGUCAGGGGUGAAAGCCUGCAGCUCAACUGUAGAACUGCCCUUGAAACUGAUUAUCUUGAGUGCGGUUGAGGUAGGCGGAAUGUGUCAUGUAGCGGUGAAAUGCUUAGAUAUGAUACAGAACACCGAUUGCGAAGGCAGCUUACUAAACCGUAACUGACACUGAGGCACGAAAGCAUGGGGAGCAAACAGGAUUAGAUACCCUGGUAGUCC
rnacentral:rRNA from 1 species